rnacentral:rRNA from 1 species
GAUGAACGCUGGCGGUAUGCUUAACACAUGCAAGUCGAACGGACUCUUCGGAGUUAGUGGCGGACGGGUGAGUAACGCGUGAGAAUCUGGCUUUGGGUUCGGGACAACCACUGGAAACGGUGGCUAAUACCGGAUGUGCCGAGAGGUAAAAGAGAAAUUGCCUGAAGAUGAGCUCGCGUCUGAUUAGCUAGUUGGUGAGGUAAUGGCUCACCAAGGCAGCGAUCAGUAGCUGGUCUGAGAGGAUGACCAGCCACACUGGGACUGAGACACGGCCCAGACUCCUACGGGAGGCAGCAGUGGGGAAUUUUCCGCAAUGGGCGAAAGCCUGACGGAGCAAUACCGCGUGAGGGAAGAAGGCUCUUGGGUUGUAAACCUCUUUUCUUAGGGAAGAACAAAAUGACGGUACCUAAGGAAUCAGCAUCGGCUAACUCCGUG